rnacentral:ncRNA from 2 species
AUGAUAACAAGGGGAGAGACUACUUUAAGUAGCGCCGAAGGAGCAAGCAGAUUAGUGAAUCUCUCAGGCAAAAGAACUCUUGUUUGACG